GUCACAGAGCACUGUCACACCCCUUCUUCCCCUGAGGCUCAUCCUCGCAUUAAGAGGUCUCCAGUCACAUUCUACUUCUGAAAACAGUAAUUUAGGACCCAGUUCACUAUCCAACAAACACACAUCAUGAGGCAAUGGAAAACAAGUACUUGAGAAAUCAGAAAGCUUUAGAAAGUAUGUUAUAAAAUACCCCAUUACUAUACAUUAUCAGUAACUCACAUAUUAAAAACAAAUCAAGUUAUCAUUUUAUUCUUGAGAUCACAGCAGGAACACUGACGACCUCGAGGGCAGGACCUUGUGUUUCAGCCGCCGAAACCGGCCCGUCCCCACAGACCCGCUCGUGUCCCGAUGCCCCGAACCCCAGGCCCUGCCCGCGGCGUGCGCCCUGCUCUCAGCGGGCUCCUCCUCACCUUCCACCAUCAAUCACAACCACUGGGCACCAAGGAACCAAGUUUUCCCGAAAGGAGCAUACUUCUUCUUUUCCCCCGAAUCUCUACCACCGAAAGCACGGAGCCCGCCCCGGUCCCGGGACCGCGCCGGGCGGGCCGGGGAGGCGGAAAUCGCGGCCGUGCCGACCGCGGGCCCCGCCCCGGCCCCCGCCCGCCCGCGCUCCCCCGGCACCAAGUUUCACCGCCGGCCCCGCGCCCGCCGGCCAGGCCGGAGGCAGGGAGGGAGAGGGCAAGGAGGGAGAGGGCAGGGAGGUCUCACCAGCGGCGGGCCCGGCCCCUCGCCCCGGGCUCCGCGGCGCGGCCCAGCCCGGGCUGCUCGGGCUCCUCCGGGCUGGGCAGGCGCGGCGGCGGGAUGAGCUCACGGGAGGGGCGGCGGCAGCGCCCGCCCCCGGCGGGACGGGCCGGGGCGGAGCGGGAGCGCUGAGGGAGGGGACGGCACAGCAGGGCAGGACAGGGCAGGGCAGUGCCCGCCCGGCCCCAGAGCCGCGCUGAGGGGCCGCUCCGCAAACACCGACCCCAGAGCCCCGCAGAGCCGGCCAAGCCCGCGAGCGUGUGUGCUCGGACACCCCACACACCCCACACCGUGAGCUCUGCCCGGACACCCCACACACCCCACACCGUGAGCUCUGCCCGGACACCCCACACACCCCACACCGUGAGCUCUGCCCGGACACCCCACACACCCCACACCGUGAGCUCUGCCCGGACACCCCACACACCCCACACACCCCACACCGUGAGCUCUGCCCGGACACCCCACACACCCCACACCGUGAGCUCUGCCCAGCUGUGCUGCCCGGACACCCCACACAUGUGUUGAGGUGGCGUUACCUCUGAAUAAAGCAGUGAACACGGUUCCAGUCUAUCCAUCCAUAUUUUCCAAGAUAGCGAAAAACGAGAGGGUGCAGAAGAGAACCACAAAACUGAUCUGAAGGCUGAAGGUGACGCCAGGCAGCAAGAGUGUUAAAAUAUUUAGUUCCUCAAAGAGACAGCACAGAAGGCAGCUUAUGAAAAAGAGAACGAGGUACUGGUAUUUUACUGUAGGGCACCCACGGUAACCACAAAGAGCUGUACAGAUAUAGCCAUCCAAGAGCAUUGCCCGUGACUGGGGAUGUCACAUGCAGAUAACCAUAUCACAUCAGUGGGGUUGGCAUUAAAGAGCCAGGUGGUUUUAAGUAUUAACACUCAGGUUUAGCAGUGGUGGUUUCCAUAGCAUUGUUAUGAGCACAAUAGUCAAUAAUAUCAGCACACUCAUCUGAUGUGUUUGUCUCUCUCACCUCAAGUGUCAGAUACUCCAGCUCUUCCCUACACAGAGGCCAAAGCCCUCAGCUUCGCUACAUGCAAUCUCUACAAUAUAAUUUCACAUGAUUAAAUACAAAAAUGAAUCCUCCUUACACCCAAAAAGGAAAUGUAGAGACAAUCCAAAAUACAUUUAUAAAUAACAGUAAGGGUUUGCCAUGCAAACUGAUUUUCAUAUGCAAUUCAUAAUGAAAAACUAAAUCUGAAUUUAACUGCAAAAUAGCUAUUACAGUGCCAGAGUACUCUAGAACAUUUUCUACCCUAUGGGAGCGUUUCACAGAGUGUCUUCCAAUGUGUCUAUAAGGGGCACAAAAGAGAAUCCAUGUGUAUGUUCAGAAAAAAGUGGCAGGCUGACACACAAGCAGCACAGUCUCUGGAGAACAUUGGCCAUGACUGCCUUGUUUGGUGUCAGAGCAGAAGAACUGGAGACAAAGCUCUCAGGGUGACAACAGCUGGGCCAUUAGUGAUCUUACAUUUCUUUCACUGCCCCUUUCAGCAGCUCUGCAGCUGAAGGCUGGUCCCAAAACAAGGGGAGGGUGCUGUGUGCACCUCAGCCAGCAGCACACAGUGUCUUUCCUCCGAAGGACAACCCUCUUAAUCACAUUCCCUUCCCUCCAUUUUGCCAGUGUGCUGAGGCCUGUGUCUGGAAAGAAAGGAAUUUUCUCUCUCCCAGAGGAAAUGUCUUAGUUCUGGCAGCCUUUUAUGAUUUUGUGUGUCUCUGAAAUCCGAGACAAGAAACUGAGCUAUGAUUUCUAUUGUGGGAUCUAUUCCUCAGGUCCAGUGCUGGCUCUCUCUUCCUCUAGAUGUGAACCCAGAAGUUUUGAAAUAGUAUUUAUAGUCAAUUGGAUUUAGAUCCUGCUGUUUCACAGGAAAGCUGAGAAUCAAAGUAUUUUUAACUAGGGCUUGAUUUUAGUGCUUCUCUAUUUCUCUUAAUAGAGCAAUGCUUUUGAUACCAGCAAAUAAAGGUUUUUGCUCUCAUCAGUAGCUUCCUUUUGGGAAGAAGGUAAGGCCACAGCUGUUGUUCUACUUUUUCUGCCCUCUGCUCCUUCCACUCAUUUGUUCACAUGAUUUAUCCAUUCCUAGCCACUGAAAUUCUUCAGUUCUUCCUCCUUCUUUCUUCUCACAAAGGUUAUGGCUGUGCUCAGCCACACACUUAUCAUGCAAGCUUCUAGUAGCCUUUUUUUUUUUUUUAAACAGGAAUCAGACCACACAAAUAUAAUGGCAGCAGUGUUCACUGUAAUGCUGGGGGAUGGAGAAAUUAGAAAUCAGACUGCUCCCUUUUUCGGCUCAGCUUCAGUGUUGUUUAUGUUAGUUCAGGUUUCUCAUGUUAGCCUACUAUUCCAAUUCUUGGGUUUGGAGGGCUCCUUCAAAGAGGGUAAUUUUGUAAAUUUUAGAGGCUUCCUUUCAAUGCAGCUGCUUUUAUCCUAUCAGAUUCAUUCUCAUGCAACAUGAGAAUUUUCUAGCAAAUUACUAAUUUACUGGUUUUUAAGGUAGUGGAAUCAACACCGCCUUAUAUUCAAGAGCUUUGUGACUGUCAGAUUUGCAGUGUCUAAGAGAGUCUAAGUUCUGACACAGGUUUUUGGUCUGUUAAACUCCAUUCAUAAUGUCUCUCCAGGCUGCAGUUCCCUAAUGCCUCAGGCUGUGACACCCCCCAGCAGGUGUGCACACAGCGGUUCAGCUCGGCCUGUUUCCUCUACGGAGCUGGUCACAGCUCUACAGGGCCAAACAAGAGUGAAGCUAAAGACUUUCAGUCACCCCCUACAUCACAGUACUUCAGAUCACUCCAUGCACCAGCUGAGGGCUGGCAGUUGCUGUUCCCAGCUGAUUGUGUGCAGAGCCUCAGUCAUUGCAGCGAUGCCACAUAAGAACUCCACGUGCUUGCAAUGCUGUGUCUCUUACCAUACUUGUCUGUAAACAGCUCCCACAGGUGUAGAUGCAACUUUGUAGAAGUGUUAACAGGAUAAAUAGUAAAAAAUAAUAAUCAGUGACAUCGACUAGACUAUUCCAAAUGCCACUACAUUACAGUUGCUUCCAUUAAUUUGUGCUUCCCCAUGCUCUUUUCUGUCUACUGUUUUCCUGCUCCAUUUCAGUUGUUCUUCCUGAUACUCUGCUUCCAUGCUGUCUACCUAUUCCCAACUCCUUCCAUUACGUACUUUUAAAAAAGUGGCCUGAAAGGGUCCUGGAUGUCAGGUCUGUCUUGCACCAGCAGCUCAGAGACCCCACCAUUCCCAGAGGCUGCUUCCCUGUGUGCUGCUGGGGGUCACUCCUGGGAGGCACAGGGAGACAGGGUGGUAAAUGAGCCCAGCCACCAUAGGAACUGCUGUUAUAAAGAGAAGGGGGGAGGGACUCAUUCUGCAAACAUAUACUUACACCUGAAUGAUUUUUCUGUUCAAGCAGUACUUUUUAGCCAGAAUCCACACAGCUUCAUCACACAAAAUCAGAUGCUGCUUACAAAACAAAGGAAAAGGGAAGCAGUACGUCCUACCUCAUGAGAGAACCUGGACUGACAAUGAACACAGAAGGCUAAAGCAAUUUUAAGUCAGAGUCUGUGCAGGUGUAAUGAUCCAUGACCAGAUGUACAGGCUCUGCUCAAGAGACAGCCAACUGCAUCCUACAGCAGGAGGAACAAACCUGGGACACAUCCCUUCAAAUGUGGAGUUAUGCCAGUAGUCUACAGUCCCAGGAACGGAGUGAGAGGCAGCUGUAAGAGAAGCUGAAUAGUGUAUUGCACCUCCCAGUAAUGUUGGUAAUCUGCAGCAUGGGCACAUCUCUGAACUCCUAAGGAGACAGUGACAUUUGAAAUAUUGAUAAGGACUACUGAUCAGAAAAUUUCUAUUCAUCCUACAUCCUGUUUCACUUUCAGCCACAGGGAAUCUUUUAAGGAACGUAACAGACAGUACAUAAAAAGUUACUCUUGGUUACAGGACACAACAACAAGUAACACAAUUUAGUGAAAAAUGUAGGGUGGAAAUUUUCAUGCACUUCAUGUAGCUCCUGCUUGAAAUCCAAGAAACCACAGGACAUCCAGCAGAUCAAAAUACACCUCCUUGGCAGAAAACAGCUGUUAUUUCUGAGGGCAGCUCAGCUGGCAGAGCUGGAAUGAGCUGCAGGCAUACAGCAACCUCUUGUGGCAAAUCCAGCACACACAGAGUAAUGAACAACCUUUGAAACUGCUUAAGCUACUCUUGAUACAAGUCAAACCUCUAUAAAAUUGCGUUAGCAAAUGACUGGGGAGUUGGAGUCUGUUACCUGGAGACUCAGCAAUACUCAGACUUCAGAGCUGUAAUAGUCCUUCUGUUUGAUUCAAGAUGAAUUAAACAUCGGUAGCCUGUUAUAAAUGAAGUGGCAGACUGAAAUUUCUGUUAAUAAAAUUCUCCAGAAGCUUUUCAUUAAAGUAGAGCAAGCGUGGCAUAACGGCCAGAAGUAGAAUCUGUGGCCAGGUAUGACCAGAAGAAUAAACAUGCUGUUAUGUUGAAUCAUUGUUCUCUGCACGGUUUUGCUGAAUAAAACUAUGACUGGUUUCAGCAGGGACAUCAAAGUGCCUUUAAUGUUUGCAGGAGCUGAGCAAGACUGAGAACAGUUAAGAGCACAGGCCUGGCUCAAUAGUGUGUUCUGCAGAGUGCUGGCAGAGCAGUAGCCCUUCAGCUGACAAGGGGGAGGACAAGAAAGUGUCAGAUAGAGCUAUAGGCCUGAAGGGGAAAAAAAAGGCAUCCCAGUAUGUGCACAGAAUCCAGGACACCUAGCUCUUCAAAAGGAUGUAACUCACUAGUUGUGCAGAAACAUGAAGUGUACCUUCCUCCAACCACCUGAGCAGCUGCAAAUGCCUGUCCCAUGCAGGCUGAGGAGGGGAGAGCAGUGAGAAGGUGCUGGAAGGGAACAGGAAGAAUGGCAGUAUGUGGGAAAAGGGUCAUCAACAACAGUGAGGCUUUCCAAACAAAGAGGUGCUUUCCUGGGAACCUGGUGUGGGAGUUGUGCACCACAGAAACAAUUACAAUAUGAGUAUUGUAGAUGACACUUAUUAGACCAAUGAACUAUUUUAUUUUUUUUACACUGUAGAAAUAUACUCCUCCACUGCUGGACCUAAGGGUGAGCUCAAGAAAUGACUGAGCUUAUGUAUGCACCACUCACCAGAACUCUGGGGGCUUGUAUGCCAGGCAGGAUUUACUGUGCUUGAAAUGAUUUGCAAAUCUGUGCAUACCACUUAGAGAGGAACAGGCUGAACAAGUACAUCCUGAAAAGGAUAGAGGCUUUAAACAGCAGCUAAUAUUUGUUUAUUAAAAUUAAGUCUUGUGCUAUAGCUCUCUUUUGUAUUGCAACUCCCCAGACUUGCCAUGUGUAAUUUCUUUGCCAUUUCAUCUGCUGCAGCUUCACACAGGAGUCAGAAACCACAUCCUCUCAGUUCUGGCCUCAGUCUGUGCACUGAGCAGCUCCUGCCAGACCAGUGACAAGGUGCACACUCCCAAAUUCCCAAGCAGCUCCAUCAAGCACCACCUAACCUGGGAGUGGCAAGUGCUUAAGGGCAGAGACUCUUCCUUGCCCCGGAGGAAACUCCUCCCUGCAGAGAAGUCCAACAGGACAUCUGUGUCUCGGGUCAUCAAACAGCACAUGUGACAUUACCAACCUGACCAAGACACUGAACCGACCAACAGGCACUGAAUGUGUUUCCACUGCUUUCCUUGUCACUUGGCUUCAGUCACUCCCAUCUCUGUAAGGUGUUUUGAGGGCUACACAUAAAAACAACUGCAUAUUAACCAACAGCGUGCCCUCCAACAUGGUGACAUGAAGAUUAGCAGCAGAAAUACUUUCCUGAAAGCAUGUCCUUCUCGUGUAAUGCCUCCAUCGUUGGGAACAGCCCUUGAGAAGCCUGAAAACAGGCUUCCUGCAGGGGCUUGAUUCUUCUAGCAAACCUACUGGUUUUGUUCCUUAUGUUCUGAACUUAGUGGCAAUUCAUAUUUAAAUAAUGAAAGCAAAGUAUUAAGCUUGAACUAAAUAAAACAAACUCCUUACAACUAAAGCACAACAGAUUCAUCGCAGUAUCAUCAAUGAUGGGGCAAACACAAACUGAAAUGACACAGAAUGGAAGGCACAAACAGGAUGAAAAAUGAAGUUGUCUACUAUUUAGAAGUUCAAAAUACAGUUUUCAUUUCUUGCUUAGCUCUUGUUAUUAAGCAUACUACCAUAAGCAGGAUAUCUUAAAAAAGAGGUAAAUAAAUCAGAGAAAAUAAUGCAUGUGACAGUGCACCUGUCAAAAUACAACAGGUCAAGAAAAGAGUGCCUUUGUUGAAAAAUGCUCUUAAUUACAUGAAGUUCUUAAUUAUAAAAUAUAUUUAAGAAGGUUCCUAAUUAUAAAAUAUAUUUAAGCAGAACAGUUUAGUUUGUUGUCUAUACAAAUCUCUCAGAAUCCCUCCAAAGACCAGUAAGUGCUACUGACACAAAAAGCAAGUAUGAAACUUCUUGUAAUGCCCCCCCAGGGGACAACACCACCUGACAGAGCAGGACAUAGAACAGAUCACUGGCCAGGAUUUCCUGCUCCACAAGAUCCCUCCUACAGCAGAAGAGGAGCUUGCACCUCUCUAUAUUUAGUAAACCCACGGUACUGAGUUUAUCAAAGCUAGACCUCCCAAAUUCUUGUUAGGGCCUCUUUUUCCCCCUGAAAGGUUUCCCCAGGCAGUACCUGAAAGAUCCUUUCCAUCAAAGCUGCUCUGUGCCAGGCCGUUGGGCACUCCCACACCUCCCUGCAGCAGCAGUGCCAGGACCUUUUAGCAGAGCUGUCCCAUCCACAGCAAUGACUGUACAGCUGCCUGAUUUGUGCCACAAAGGGCUCCCUUCUACACCAAGCAUGUCAUCCCUCCCUGAAGGUACUGCUUUGAACAGCUAAAUAACAUUCAACUUCAUGGAAAGUAAUGGGCAUAGAGGCCCCGAGAAUCAGAUCCCACAACUUUGCACUGGCUAUUGGUUUUCUUCAGAAACAACAAGGACAAAGAUUAGAAUUCUGAAGAUUUUACUAAUAUUCUUUCUGCAGGAAGCAUGUAUCAGCCAUUGGUAUGUUAGAUGCACUGUGCUAUUUUUGGCCUUGAAAGGAUGAAUAAUCAUUUGACACAUGGACAGCUUUACCUCAAGCCCUGUUUGAUCACUGACAUUCCUAUUGAUAUUCCCUGCCACAGAGCCAGCCUGGGGAGUGGAAGUGUGCUACACAGGAUACAAAACCACAACUACCUGCUUGCCAAACCCCAUACCUAACUUCAAUAUCCAUAAACUAUGUUGCUGCUGUUGUCCAGGAUAACAGCGACAGCCAUGUGGAAAGGACACUAUGAAAAGAUGAUCCAUUGACAAAUGACAUUUUUUGAGUAUCACUUUUCACGUGAAGUGUGAAUUUUAGGGUACAAUUUAGCUACUCUGGUUAUGCAUGGAGCUGAAGUGUACUCAGAACAUGAGGGGGGUGGGACAGAAAUAGUUGGGUUCUUCUCCUGAGGGGAAUGACCCAAGAAAAAAUUCAGACAGGCUCCAGAAUGAUCAGUGGAUCCACACAUGGGAAAGCCACACAGACUACUAUGUCUAACAGAACAACAGAACCAAGAGCAAAAGAUUUUCUGCUGCCAAAAGGUGGGAUUGUUGGUACAGUUCUCCCCUGGUUAAACCUGUUUUUGUGGUAUGCCUUUGGGACCACCAUAAUGUGGGACUAACAUUUAAAUUCAAAAUAGAUAUUACUGAAACCAAAACAACUAGAUUUGCCCCAAUCAAAGAGAAAGAGAAAAUUUUGUAUCCUCAAAUUUUUGAAAUUGGACCGUAUGUGAUCAAAAAUGCAGAUCAGCAACAACUGUUGUUUAAUCCAUCUUGGUUUCUUAAACGGGUGGAAUUAGUAAUGCAGAUUCAUACUGCUGCACUAAGCCCAUGUGCUCACCAUUCCCAAGAGCUCCCUGUGCAGGAUGGUUGGCUUGGCUACAUGGGCAAACCCUCACUCCUCCGAGAGGAACAGAGACACAACUUGUUUUUCUCCGAAUACUAAUAAGUUUUGUCUUAACUGUAGCACUGUAUAUUCACACUUAGGAAAUCAUGAAGCAGUUGACUUACCUUAUCAUCCCUGUGAUUCAUUUCAGGAAACACGUGAUGGCUGCAAAGGGAGACUUACAAUAUGUAUAAGAAGAAUCAUAAGUCUAAAAGUGGAAAAUUGAUGAAUAGCAGGAGCAAGGUUCCAAAUAACAAGAUAAAGAACAAAGCAAUUAAGCAAUGGAAGCAACAGCCACAGGAAUGUGGAAAACACAAAACUGAUAGCCUAGGUCCUUGAAAGGGGGAAAACAAGAUAACACUCUUCUUAUCCUGGAUAUUAUAUAUCCAAGUUUGACUGCUUCUGUGGUGAGAACUUGCCCCAGCCAUUGACUUUGCUUGUUAAGUCAUCAUCAUAGUAAAAGCCACACCCCUGGCUCAGCCCCCCUGCCCACCCAGCAUGUGCCACCACUUCUUGGGACACUACACCUUGAAACUGAAAUGGAGAAAGGGGAUGCCAACAGCACCUUAAAGCAUGGAGGGAAGAUCUGCUUUGGCCUGAGAGUGUAACCGUGGGUGUGCCUGGCUGGGUGUGCCUCUGUGCCAGCUCUGAGGACAGCACACAGCAGGACAGUAUCACCCUGUGGCCAGAGCAGGGCUCUCUCUAUCAUCCCUGCUGCCAGUGGGAGCAGGACAUGGCUGGGGGAACUGCCUGCACUGGGAUUUACACUUGCUCUUCCCUGUUAUUAAGCCUGACCCCCCAGGGCCCCCCUGCUACCAGUCCGUGCUCAGACUCAUCCCCCAUUCUACCAACCCUAACUCCACACUCAAAUCAUGGCCUUCUCUGCACCUUGGCUCCUCCUUGGUACCUGCCCUCCUAUCCAAAGGGUUCAGCUCCAAGUCAGGUACUUCCUUCACUCAUCUGCCCCAGCCCCAAACAGGUUCAAACAGACUGUUCCCACUCAGUUCUUCCUGCUUGCUGGAUCCCUGAAGAGGAGCUGGAUUUCCCUACAGAAAGGAAUGCAAGCAAGAAAUAUUUCUUUCCACUGCAUGGAAAUCUUUCCUAGGACUUUCUGAAUUACUUAUCAUGCAGUAAAAGCCUAAGGCAUGCAUUCAGCACACCCUGAGCCUUUCAGUCAUGACCUGCUUUCGUAGUAUCAUGUUCACUUCAGCUUUGCUAUCAUUAAAUUCAAAAAAAAACCCAAACAAAAAACAACAGGGCUGAUAAGUUUCCAUUCCUUCAGUCAAAACUCAGUAAGUGAAGCUG